UACUUACCAUGCAGUCGACGAUGAUGCCCAGCUUGCUGGGCGGAUUAGUGGCGAACGGGUGAGUAAUACGUGAGUAACCUGCCCCUGACUCUGGGAUAAGCCUGGGAAACCGGGUCUAAUACUGGAUACGACUCCUCAUCGCAUGGUGGGGGGUGGAAAGGGUUCACUGGUUUUGGAUGGGCUCACGGCCUAUCAGCUUGUUGGUGGGGUAAUGGCUCACCAAGGCGACGACGGGUAGCCGGCCUGAGAGGGUGACCGGCCACACUGGGACUGAGACACGGCCCAGACUCCUACGGGAGGCAGCAGUGGGGAAUAUUGCACAAUGGGCGAAAGCCUGAUGCAGCGACGCCGCGUGAGGGAUGACGGCCUUCGGGUUGUAAACCUCUUUCAGUAGGGAAGAAGCGCAAGUGACGGUACCUGCAGAAGAAGCGCCGGCUAACUACGUGCCAGCAGCCGCGGUAAUACGUAGGGCGCAAGCGUUGUCCGGAAUUAUUGGGCGUAAAGAGCUCGUAGGCGGUUUGUCGCGUCCGCUGUGAAAGCCCGGGGCUCAACCCCGGGUCGGCAGUGGGUACGGGCAGACUAGAGUGCAGUAGGGGAGACUGGAAUUCCUGGUGUAGCGGUGAAAUGCGCAGAUAUCAGGAGGAACACCGAUGGCGAAGGCAGGUCUCUGGGCUGUUACUGACGCUGAGGAGCGAAAGCAUGGGGAGCGAACAGGAUUAGAUACCCUGGUAGUCCAUGCCGUAAACGUUGGGCACUAGGUGUGGGGGACAUUCCACGUCCUCCGCGCCGUAGCUAACGCAUUAAGUGCCCCGCCUGGGGAGUACGGCCGCAAGGCUAAAACUCAAAGGAAUUGACGGGGGCCCGCACAAGCGGCGGAGCAUGCGGAUUAAUUCGAUGCAACGCGAAGAACCUUACCAAAGGCUUGACAUCCACCGGACUACCCCAGAGAUGGGGUUUCCCUUCGGGGCUGGUGGACAGGUGGUGCAUGGUGUCGUCAGCUCGUGUCGUGAGAUGUUGGGUUAAGUCCCGCACGAGCGCAACCCUCGUUCUAUGUU
rnacentral:rRNA from 1 species